UGCAGUCGAGCGGACAGAAGGGAGCUUGCUCCCGGAUGUUAGCGGCGGACGGGUGAGUAACACGUGGGUAACCUGCCUGUAAGACUGGGAUAACUCCGGGAAACCGGAGCUAAUACCGGAUAGUUCCUUGAACCGCAUGGUUCAAGGAUGAAAGACGGUUUCGGCUGUCACUUACAGAUGGACCCGCGGCGCAUUAGCUAGUUGGUGGGGUAAUGGCUCACCAAGGCGACGAUGCGUAGCCGACCUGAGAGGGUGAUCGGCCACACUGGGACUGAGACACGGCCCAGACUCCUACGGGAGGCAGCAGUAGGGAAUCUUCCGCAAUGGACGAAAGUCUGACGGAGCAACGCCGCGUGAGUGAUGAAGGUUUUCGGAUCGUAAAGCUCUGUUGUUAGGGAAGAACAAGUGCGAGAGUAACUGCUCGCACCUUGACGGUACCUAACCAGAAAGCCACGGCUAACUACGUGCCAGCAGCCGCGGUAAUACGUAGGUGGCAAGCGUUGUCCGGAAUUAUUGGGCGUAAAGGGCUCGCAGGCGGUUUCUUAAGUCUGAUGUGAAAGCCCCCGGCUCAACCGGGGAGGGUCAUUGGAAACUGGGAAACUUGAGUGCAGAAGAGGAGAGUGGAAUUCCACGUGUAGCGGUGAAAUGCGUAGAGAUGUGGAGGAACACCAGUGGCGAAGGCGACUCUCUGGUCUGUAACUGACGCUGAGGAGCGAAAGCGUGGGGAGCGAACAGGAUUAGAUACCCUGGUAGUCCACGCCGUAAACGAUGAGUGCUAAGUGUUAGGGGGUUUCCGCCCCUUAGUGCUGCAGCUAACGCAUUAAGCACUCCGCCUGGGGAGUACGGUCGCAAGACUGAAACUCAAAGGAAUUGACGGGGGCCCGCACAAGCGGUGGAGCAUGUGGUUUAAUUCGAAGCAACGCGAAGAACCUUACCAGGUCUUGACAUCCUCUGACAACCCUAGAGAUAGGGCUUUCCCUUCGGGGACAGAGUGACAGGUGGUGCAUGGUUGUCGUCAGCUCGUGUCGUGAGAUGUUGGGUUAAGUCCCGCAACGAGCGCAACCCUUGAUCUUAGUUGCCAGCAUUCAGUUGGGCACUCUAAGGUGACUGCCGGUGACAAACCGGAGGAAGGUGGGGAUG
rnacentral:rRNA from 1 species